GUAUAAUGGUGAACUGAGAAAAAGAGUGAAAAAAAGAUGUCCUGCGAAGGAUUAAGACUUGUUGCCAUGGCAUCAGUUAUUACAAGGGGACAUUUUCUUCUCCUUGCAGCAGCCCUCAACCCGACGACGCUUGAGUCUGCAGCUCGCGGCCCAACAAUGCAAACCACGGCAAAGGAGCUGCAAAGAGGAACCAGAGGGUGGGCGCUUUGCUUCUGCGAUGAUGCGGCUUGUCCGGGAGGCGUAAUCAGCGGAAAGCCAGCAAACCGAAGCGGAAGUUUGAACUAGUCAGGGGGGCACCUCACGUUUACUAACAUGCACUAAAAGCAGGCACGACUGGCCAGCUUUAAAAAGGCAAAAGGAAGAUCAGACAACACACAAGAAGCGGGGUGCUGUAUUACCAUAAUGACUUCUUGUGACGAAGAUGUACUCAGCAGCAGUAUGGAAAUGGCACAUGCCAGGGAGCACAUUAUCAGAGCCAAAUGCUUUGGGAUGUCGUUUGUUUGUCCGUCCUCCAGGAUCCUCAGUCUGUCUGCCGCUCCCUGCCUGGAUUUCUCCGCCUGGAUUUCCCUGCCAUUCCACUGUCUCCAUAGCUGUGUCCCUGGCAAUAAACCAGUUUCCCCCGG
ensembl:lncRNA